rnacentral:rRNA from 1 species
AGAGUUUGAUCCUGGCUCAGAACGAACGCUGGCGGCAGGCCUAACACAUGCAAGUCGAACGUGAAGCUGGAGCUUGCUCCAGUGGAAAGUGGCAGACGGGUGAGUAACGCGUGGGAAUUUACCCAGUGGUUCGGAAUAACUUCGGGAAACCGGAGCUAAUACCGAAUACGCCCUCCGGGGGAAAGAUUUAUCGCCAUUGGAUGAGCCCGCGUCGGAUUAGCUAGUUGGUGGGGUAAAAGCCUACCAAGGCGACGAUCCGUAGCUGGUCUGAGAGGAUGAUCAGCCACACUGGGACUGAGACACGGCCCAGACUCCUACGGGAGGCAGCAGUGGGGAAUAUUGCACAAUGGGCGCAAGCCUGAUGCAGCCAUGCCGCGUGAGUGAAGAAGGCCUUAGGGUUGUAAAACUCUUUCACCGGUGAAGAUAAUGACGGUAGCCGGAGAAGAAGCCCCGGCCAACUCCGUGCCAGCAGCCGCGGUAAUACGGAGGGGGCUAGCGUUGUUCGGAAUUACUUCGCGUAAAGCGCGCGUAGGCGGGCUGGUCAGUUGGGGGUGAAAUCCCGGGGCUUAACCUCGGAACUGCCCUCAAUACUACCA